UACGAAGGGGGCUAGCGUUGUUCGGAAUUACUGGGCGUAAAGGGCGCGCAGGCGGUUCGUUAAGUCCGAGGUGAAAUCUCCCGGCUCAACUGGGAGGGGUCUUCGGAUACUGGCGGACUUGAGGAGUGCAGAGGUGAGUGGAAUUCUCGGUGUAGUGGUGAAAUGCGUAGAUAUCGAGAGGAACACCAGCGGCGAAGGCGGCUCACUGGGCACCACCUGACGCUGAGGCGCGAAAGCGUGGGGAGCGAACCGG
rnacentral:rRNA from 1 species